rnacentral:lncRNA from 1 species
UCGACAUUUCCCAACUGACCAUUCUUAGAAUUACAUUUGGAUAUUUCGUAACGAACUUUAUUCCCAAAGUUGGAAUUGCUUCAAAUGCCCAAACAUUAUUAUCUCAAGACACAAAUUGAUAUAUAAAAAAAUAAUACAAGUAAAGUGUAUUGUUUGUUUAUACCAUUAUAGCGAGGAGAAUGCCAUGCAACGAAUAUCAACAAUUUGACUCUCCUCCAAUGUCCAAACUUUUGAAUUUACCUCUUAUUUCACGUUUGAAUAUACUGAUUGUGUAUUGAAAGAAAACUUUCCUCAUGGAUACGUCUUGAACCUGUCGAGAUCAUCCACCAAUCUAGCCACCAUAAAUCGAUAUAGGUAUUUUCCUCCGUAGCCCACAGGUCGUACACUAAGAUUAUGAUCAAACUCAACUUAUACUUAUUGCUCUUUCUUUUCUUGCAACUUACAAAUGCAUUGUAAGCAUCUCCCUUCGUAAUCUUACCCCCAUAUUACUUAAAAUACUCUUUCACGAUCUAACACUUUGCUCCCAAGGUCUUAUCUACGUUGUUAUCAUCACUCACAUUCAAG